rnacentral:rRNA from 1 species
CUACGGGUGGCUGCAGUGAGGAAUAUUGCACAAUGGAGGAAACUCUGAUGCAGCAACGCCGCGUGGAGGAUGACGCAUUUCGGUGUGUAAACUCCUUUUAUAUGUCAAGAAAAUGACGGUAGCAUAUGAAUAAGCUCCGGCUAACUCCGUGCCAGCAGCCGCGGUAAUACGGAGGGAGCAAGCGUUACUCGGAAUCACUGGGCGUAAAGGACGCGUAGGCGGGAUAGAAAGUCAGGUGUGAAAUCCUAUGGCUCAACCAUAGAACUGCACUUGAAACUUCUAACCUAGAGUAUGGGAGGGGAAGAUGGAAUUAGUGGUGUAGGGGUAAAACCCGUAGAUAUCACUAGGAAUACCAAAAGCGAAGGCGAUCUUCUGGAACAAUACUGACGCUAAGGCGUGAAAGCGUGGGGAGCAAACAGGGUUAGAUACCCCGGUAGUC